GGAUGGAGAAAACCCCCCGGGGGCCCGGUGAGCCCCCCCCCGGGACGGUCCCUGUCCCCCGUCACCCCCAACCCCCCCCCCGUUGCCCUUUGUCACCCCCCCGUUGAAAGGGACCCCCUCCCCUCUCCGAGUUGGGCAGGGGAGUUUGGUGCUAUCCAAGGGUUCUGGUGGUGGUUCCGUGCGCACUGGGGUGGCACGGGGUGGUCGUGGGUGUCCCCGCGGUGUCACCAGGUACCCAACGGUGUCCCCAAGUCCCCCACCAUGUCCCCAAGUACCCCAUGGUGUCCCCAAGCCCCCCAAGGUGUCCCCAAGUACCCCACCAUGUCCCCAAGUACCCCAUGGUGUCCCCAAGCCCCCCAAGGUGUCCCCAAGUACCCCAGCACGUCCCCAGGCACCCCAUGGCCAACACCAUGGGCCCCCCAUGGUGCCCCCAAGCACCCCAAGGUGUCCCCAGGUAUCCCAAGGUAUCCCCAGGCACCCCAUGGCCAACACCAUGGGCACCCCAAGGUGUCCCCAAGUACCCCAACACGUCCCCAGGCACCCCACCAUGUCCCCAUGUACCCCAUGGCCACCCCAACAGGUGUCCCACCACGUCCCCAGGUACCCCAAGGUAGCACCCCAUGGCCAACACCAUGGGCCCCCCAUGGUGCCCCCAAUGUACCCCAUGGCCACGGUGUCCCCAACCCCCCCAAGGUGUCCCCAGGCACCCCAUGGUGUCCCCAAGCACCCCAAGGUGUCCCCAAGUACCCCACCAUGUGCCCAGGUAUCCCAUGGCCACCCCAACAGGUGUCCCACCACGUCCCCAGGCACCCCAAGGUGUCCCCAGGCACCCCAAGGUGUCCCCAGGUACCCAACAGUGUCCCCAGGUAUGCCAUGGCCACCCCAACAGGUGUCCCACCACGUCCCCAGGCACCCCACCAUGUCCCUAGGUACCCCAUGGCCACCACCAUGUCCACCCCAUGGUGUCCCCAGGUACCCCAUGGUCUCCCCAGGCACCUCACCGUGUCCCCAGGUACCCCAUAGCCACCCCAACAGGUGUCCCACCAUGUCCCCAGGCACCCCAAGGUGUCCCCAGGUACCCCAAGGUGUCCCCAAGCACCCCAUAGCCACCUCUACAGGUGUCCCACCAUGUCCCCAGGUACCCCAUGGUGUCCCCAGGUAUCCCACGGUGUCCCCAAGCACCCCAGGGAUGCUCCAUGAGGCUGGGUUUAGGGUUGUGGGGCUGCCUUUGGGGUUGGGGCUGGUGUCGGGGCUGGGGGCAGGGUCCAGGUUUAGGGGCAAGGUCUGGGUUUGGGGUUGUGGGCCAGGUUUGGGGUCAGGGUAUUGGAUUUAG
rnacentral:lncRNA from 1 species